rnacentral:rRNA from 2 species
UACGUAGGCAGCAAGCGUUGUUCGGAAUUACUGGGCGUAAAGAGUGUGUAGGCGGUGCUCCAAGUCUGGUGUGAAAUCUCCCGGCUUAACUGGGAGGGUGCAUUAGAAACUGGAAUGCUAGAGGAUGGGAGAGGUAAGCGGAAUUCCUGGUGUAGCGGUGAAAUGCGUAGAUAUCAGGAGGAACACCUGUGGUGUAGACAGCUUACUGGACCAUUUCUGACGCUGAGACACGAAAGCGUGGGUAGCAAACAGG